GCGGUCUGUCAAGUCGGAUGUGAAAUCCCCGGGCUCAACCUGGGAACUGCAUUCGAAACUGGCAGGCUUGAGUCUUGUAGAGGGGGGUAGAAUUCCAGGUGUAGCGGUGAAAUGCGUAGAGAUCUGGAGGAAUACCGGUGGCGAAGGCGGCCCCCUGGACAAAGACUGACGCUCAGGUGCGAAAGCGUGGGGAGCAAACAGGAUUAGAUACCCUGGUAGUCCACGCCGUAAACGAUGUCUACUUGGAGGUUGUGCCCUUGAGGCGUGGCUUCCGGAGCUAACGCGUUAAGUAGACCGCCUGGGGAGUACGGCCGCAAGGUUAAAACUCAAAUGAAUUGACGGGGGCCCGCACAAGCGGUGGAGCAUGUGGUUUAAUUCGAUGCAACGCGAAGAACC
rnacentral:rRNA from 2 species